UGAGCUCAGUAGAGACGUUUGACUGUCCCAACCCGAUGCUGCCUUCCCACAUAAAUGAGAUCUUUUCUGCCAGGCGACAUGGUUUUACCCUCACAUUCAAAAAAACCCUUAAUCUCUAAUGUGGAGCAGCUGAUCCUGGGCCAGAAUCGCUGGGAGAUAGGCCAUGGCCAGGAUAUGUUUCCAGCAGAGAAGCUCUGCCAUCUGCAGGAUCGCAAGGUGAACCUUCACACAGCUGCCUGGGGUGAGUGUAUUGUUGCACCCAAGACUCUCAGCUUCUCUUACUGUCAGAGGAACUGCCCAGCCCUCAACAGUGAGCUCUGUCAUUCCAGCUUUGAGUGCUAUAAGAGGGCAGUACCUACCUGUCCCUGGCUCUUCCAGACCUGCCGUCCCACCACAGUCAGACUCUUCUCCCUGAUGGUCCAGGAUGACGAACACAAGAUGAGUGUGCACUAUGUGAACACUUUCUUGGUGGAGAAGUGUGGCUGCUCUUGAGAUACCCCAAAGCCUCCUACUGGCCUCAGGGCCACCUAAGUCUCAGGACUUUAGUAGGGGGUGGGAUUACUUUUCAUAGCAACUAGAGCUCUUUGAAGGGAGGUGGGAUUUGGUUUGUUUCUCAAAGCACAGCAAGAAGGUUGGCAUUAUGGCAGUAACCCCUCAUAGAUGCUUCUCUUUGAUGUGGCAGGGGCCCCCUAGUGCUGUUCUCAGUCACUCCUACUACUGGGAAGCUGGGCCCAUUGAGAUGUCUGACUAUCGCUGUCCUAGAUUGUGAGUGGGCUGGGCUUAGUGCCACCUCUGGGAUCAUUUAGGUGGGGAAAGAGGAACUGGAAUUGGACGCAUGUCAGCUCUUGGGGGUAGGGGUAAAAUUGUUACCGGUGUUAAGCUGGCUUCAGACUCUUCUGAGCCAUUCAGCUGCUAUCAUCCUUCUCUGUACCAUUGGCCUGGGGCUGGUCCAGAACUGACCUCAGCAUGUACAUUCCUCCUCACCUAACACUCCUGGCCUCUUUAGAGGGAGUGAGGACUCUGUGGAAGAAAGCAUUCUGUCAUGGGCUAGUCAUGGGUAAAGGGCCCCAAGGCCUUCACAACCUGGUGUCAGAUGGGAGCCUGAGAGUAGAGGAUGUUGCUUGACUGACAGAGGGGGCCUCUGGCCUCAUGGAAAGUUUGUCUCACUAUCAUUUAAGGAACUUGAUAUUAGCUUUUCUACUAUCUUUAAUAAAACUAUAGGACCAUUGUUGUGGGUCUCUUAUGUUGGAUAUCUAUUACUUAAUGCCCUUGAGCCUCUGAAUCAGAAUGAGUAGAUAGAUGUUGGGUUUCAAAUCCUAUCGUCAAGGAUCGCAGGAAAGAAGCAACGCAAUGCACUUUGAAACAAAUAUUCAGUCAUUAUAGCACUCACUCAAUGACUCCUAGUUUUAGGUUCCAAAACGUACGUCCAAAGUAAGAUAUAAGGAAGUACUCCAACGCAGAUAUUAAUACCAAAACUACUUGUUAGAUUUCUUGAGGCAGAAGAGAAACAAAGUUAGAUGACACUCAGAACCUUAGUAACAUGCUAUCUGUCCUAGUGGGAGGAGGAGUAUAUCAGUUAAAUUUACAAUUUUAAAAUGUGACUUUCUCAGUGGACAUUCAUAGUUCACAUUAGCCUGCACCUUGCAGAGUAUCCCUGUAGAAUGAUGGUCAGGGUGAGGGCUGAGCAUAGAGGAGGCAGAGAGCCAUCCCUGGCUCUUGACUUUCCCAAGCUCGGUCUUGGCUGUGUGGUGGAUUUCAAGAAAUAAGGAUGAACUACUGUCUUUUUUGAUUCCUUUCUUUAUAUCUCUGCAACGGAAGUUCUGACAAAUUUAUGCAAGUGGUUUGUGCUUUUAAGUUUAAUAGCAAUGUAUGCAAUAUGAGAAGCUGACUUUCCAGCCCCAAUCCUAAACAAAGGUAGUGACUGUCAGGUUUGACAUGUACUCUGCCAGACUGCUUUCUUUGUAUAUUAACAUAGCCUUAAAACGACCCUAUAGCUCCUUAACAAGGUGUUGUGGAGACAUUUCAAGAUCCUAACACUUUUUUUUUUCCCCAUGGACAUUAGCUUGUAUACAGUAUUUAAAUAGUUCAAUACCCAUUUAACUGAUUCCCUUAUUGAUGGACAUUCAAAGAGGGCAUUUUAAAGUUACCCAUUAUUACAGUGCUGUGAUCAUCUUUGAAUAUAGAUUCUUAUAUGCAGGUAGAAUUGCUAAGAAAAUGUCAGAUGCAAUUUGGUCUCCCCAAAAACUAUGCCAGUUUACAUUUCCCUCAACUGUGAGACCGUUUUCCUCACACAGGGCAAGUCCUUUUGAUGAGGGAUACAUUUCAUUGUUAAGUUGCAUCUUUAAAAAUGAAAAUUUGAACAUAUCAAAUUAGCCAGUUGAAUUCUUUGAGCUUAUCAAGCAUUUUUUGUCUUAUAGAAACUCUUAAUAUAACAAAAUGUGACAAACAUAUGUAAGUUUCUUUUCUACAUGGGGGUAUUAUAUGGAUAAGUCAAUCUCUGACUUUAUUGGUUCUAGGUUUCAUAUUUGGUCAACCCCAUAAAAAGAUCAUACACACUCUGCCUCUUGUAGUUCUUGUGUUCAUGGUCUUAUUUAUACAUUAAUACUUCUGGGUAGGGAGAGCUGGAGGUGCCCAGGCCACUUGUGUCUAGGCCUGGCAGUGCCAAUCUCUGGCCAGUCAAAUGUAAGUGGGAGUCUGCAUGGUUUCCAGGAAGGCUUCUACUUUGGAGUUGAGGGCCUAGUUUACAGUAAUAAAGCACUACAUUACUGGGGGCAAUGUAACAAAGAUGGCAAAGCUGGAAAGAGUACGGGUUCCUUAGGGCAGGGAUUGGCAAGUUUUUUCUGUAAAGGGACAGAUAGUAAAUAUCUUGGGCUUUGUAGGCCAUACAACCUCUGUCUACUCAACUCUGGUGUUGAAGCAUAGAAAUGGCCAUUGAGGAAAUGUAAAUGAGCAUCUUUGCAUUCCAAUAAAACUUUAUUCACGGGCCCUAAUAUUUAAACUUAAUGUAACUUGUCACAAAAUAUUCUUUUUUCCAACCAUUUAAAAUAGGUAAAGACCAUUCUUCAUUUUUGAGUUGUACAAAAGUAUAAUGAUUGGCCUGUGGGCUGUAGACUGUCAACUCACCUUAGGAUAUCAUUGAGCAGGUGGGCCAAUACUAGCAGAGACUUCUAAUUUAUGAGAAAUUGUAUCUCUAAUUAAGCCACUGUUCGUUUGGCUUUUUGAUUACUUGCAGUCAAAUACAUUCUUAUCUGAUACGGGUCUUUUUUUUUUUUUUUAAUAGCCCGCUGUUCUAACCUUUUAUUGACUAUUCGAACUUUCCUCCACCUUGAUUUGGGCACUAUUUUUUAAAUCACAUGUUAAAUUUCCUUAAGCCUAAUAAGUUUUUUCUAACAUUCUAUUCUAAUCCACUAAUCUUUGUUCAUUUUCAUGUCCAUAUUAACUUAAUUCCUAUAGUUUUAAUGUAUGCUUAGGAUUCUGAAAGAAUGUGUACCAUACACUAAGUUGUUUUUCUCAUGGAAGACGUCUGAAUGUCUAUAUCUUCCCACCCAUGAACAUGAUAUAACUUUAUAUUUAAUGGAGAAAAAGAUCUGAAUGAGUUCCCUCACUUUUAUUUCAUUUAAGCCAUGGCAAUUUCUACUUGGAUUAUUUCUUGGUGAUCUAGUUUACUGUUGUUAGUGUAAAUGGAACUGUUAACUGGAAUUACUUUUAUGGCAUCAGUCCACGUUACUCUUCCAAUUCUGUAAUGAAACCAUGUAGAUUCAGAGCAUUGUUUUUUGUCCAACAUGGAAGACCAACUCAGAGUUGAGUGCUUUCUGUCAUUGUACUUAGUCUUUGGAAGGUGCUACUGGGCAGUUUUUUGUUCUGUUUGAAUUAGGUGUUAUUAAAUGCUAGUGAGUCCUUAGACUUGACAUCAUCUGGAACAGUAAAAUGGUGUUAUGUACAACUAUUGGAAAGUGGAUUGAACCUGGUUGCUGAUACCGAUCUAAGUGGUUUGGAUUUGUGUAUAUUCUAAGCAUCAUGUUUUAUGUCAAUGGGAACCCAGAAUGGAGGCUCAAAAUAAGUUUAAUCUGCAUGUGCAGACAACUCCUAAAAGAUAAAGAAACAGAGGUAGUAAGUGGCAAGACCUGGGCAAGAGGAGAAUGCCAGAGCCUCAUCUUCAGACUUACAUUCCAACAAGAAUGGACUCAUGAUGACAUGCAUUUUGAGGAAGCAUACUUUGUGCUUUGGUACUAGUUCUCAAAGGGGCUGAGGUCUGAGAGAUAAACAGCCACCAAACCAGGUGGAAAGACGGUGCAGGCUGAGUGAAGCAGCACCCAUAAUGGCCUAGGGAGGAAAGAGUAGGAGAGGGCUGUUCAGCUAAGCAGAGAAAGCUCAAUAGAGCUGGCAUGUGGGGUUUGCGGUGGGAGGAGUUGAGUGGGUGGGCAGUUUUACUCUUCUGGGCAGAGUCCACAGCAUCAUGUGAAUUCAAAUACGUAAAUUGCUUUCCUUCAUGUAAGAUGAAAGAUCACUUCUCUUUGGUGACUCGAAUGUAUUAAUAAAAAGUAACGGGAAUAUCUACUAAAGCUGAAUACAUGCAUACCCUAUGUUCUGGCAAUUUCAUUUCUAGCCACAUAUUUUACCAAAAGAUAUAGCAGCACUACAUGUAAAAACCCCAAAUUGAAAACUACCCAAAUGCCCAUCACCAGUAGAAUACAUUGUGGCAUACUCACAUAGGAGAGUACUAUUUAACGAGGAGAAACAAAGUAGAACUCUAAAUGAACUGAUAAAUCCCACAGACAUGUUGAGGGAAAGAAGCUAGAUACAGGGUAAAACAUAGCUGUAUGAUUCUACUUAUGUAGAGAACAAAAAUUGGCAAAAGUAGAACGAACACUUCAAUUCCAUUUAUAUUAAAGAAUCCAGAGUGGUAAGAUUCAUAAAGACAAAGUAAAAUGGUGGUUGCCAGGAGCUAGAGGGAGAGAGGAAUAGGGAGAUAUUGCUGAAUGGGUAUUGAGUCUCAGUUAUGUGAGAUGAAAAGAGUUUUGGAGACGGAUGCUGGUGAUGGUUGUACAACAAUGGGAUUGCACUUAGUACGCUACUGAACUGUACACUUAAAAAUGGUUAAGAUGG